AUUGAACGCUGGCGGCAGGCCUAACACAUGCAAGUCGGACGGUAGCACAGAGGAGCUUGCUCCUCGGGUGACGAGUGGCGGACGGGUGAGUAAUGUCUGGGGAUCUGCCCGAUAGAGGGGGAUAACCACUGGAAACGGUGGCUAAUACCGCAUAACGUCGCAAGACCAAAGAGGGGGACCUUCGGGCCUCUCACUAUCGGAUGAACCCAGAUGGGAUUAGCUAGUAGGCGGGGUAACGGCCCACCUAGGCGACGAUCCCUAGCUGGUCUGAGAGGAUGACCAGCCAAACUGGAACGGAGACACGGUCCAGACUCCUACGGGAGGCAGCAGUGGGGAAUAUUGCACAAUGGGCGCAAGCCUGAUGCAGCCAUGCCGCGUGUAUGAAGAAGGCCUUCGGGUUGUAAAGUACUUUCAGCGGGGAGGAAGGCGAUGUGGUUAAUAACCGCGUCGAUUGACGUUACCCGCAGAAGAAGCACCGGCUAACUCCGUGCCAGCAGCCGCCGUAA
rnacentral:rRNA from 1 species